AGCAGCCGCGGUAAUUCCAGCUCCAAUAGCGUAUAUUAAAGUUGUUGCAGUUAAAAAGCUCGUAGUUGAACUUCGGGGUUUACUCAUUGGUCAGGCUUAAUUGUCUGUACCGGUGAGAUAAAUCUCUACCUUCUGAGGAACUUUCAUGUCAUUUAUUUGGUGUGAUUGGAAAUCAGGACUGUUACUUUGAAAAAAUUGAGUGUUUAAAGCAGGCUAACGUCUGAAUACAUUAGCAUGGAAUAAUGAAAUAGGACGGAUUGAUUCUAUUUCGUUGGUUUCUAGGGUCACCGUAAUGAUUAAUAGGGAUAGUUGGGGGCAUUAGUAUUCAAUUGUCAGAGGUGAAAUUCCUGGACUUAUUGAAGACUAACUACUGCGAAAGCAUUUGCCAAGGAUGUUUUCAUUAAUCAAAGAACGAAAGUUAGGGAUCGAAGACGAUCAGACUACCGUCGUAGUACUUAACCAUAAACUAUGACCGACUAGGGAUCGGACGCAGUUAAUUUAUAUGACGUGUUACGGCACC
rnacentral:rRNA from 1 species